GGUUUUUCUCCCUCAGAAACAGAACAACAUAUAUUGUACAGCCACGUAAUUCCAGCCAAACCUCUUAACUAACCAACAAAGUUAUGGCUGAUGCAGACUCCAUGGUAGAAAAAGAAAAAGAACUGUAUGCGUUUGAUGACCUUAAAAUACGUGUCAAAGGGCUCUCAGACUCCGGCGUGGCCAAGAUUCUCAGAAUCUUCAUCCACCCACCGGAGACUGUAAAGAACACAGCACCAGAUGAUGGUGUCAAACUUCAAAUCCCAAUUGUUGAUCUCAGAUGCAUUGCCAAUGAUCACGCUCGAGAAGGAAUAGUGAAGAAAAUUAAAGAUGCAUGUGAAACAUGGGGUUCUUUCAGAUAGUCAACCAUGGAGUUCCACUUGCUGUUAUGGAGGAGAUGCUUCAAGGAAUUUGUAGAUUUCAUGAGCAGCCUGCAGAAGACAAGAUGGAGUUGUACUCUCGUGACUUCAAGAAUCCGGUCAACUUUUAUUGCAGUGGAGAUCUGAAAGUGCGUACAAAAUCAGCAGUAGACUGGAGAGACACCUUAUUCUGCAGAGAAGUAGAUGAUGAAUGGGAUUUUGAAGCACUGCCUCAAGUCUGCAGUUCUGCAGGACGAGAUUGGGGGCCUCCAAGUUCUCCAUAAAGAUCAAUUGGUUGAUGUGCCACCAGUGAAUGGAGCUUUUGUAGCAAAUCUCGGUGACUUUGUGCAGUGUUUUAAAACACGCGCGUCAGGCGCGCCUUCAAGCGCAAAAGGCGUGAGGCGUGAAGAAAAGUGAGUCCGUUUUCCAGAUGAGGCGCAGAGGCGCAGCAGGUGGAGAUGGAGGCGUGGAAGGCGGAGAAAGCGCGCCUUAAGGCGUGCUGCGCGUACGCCUGAAAGUUUUUUUUUUUUUUUUUUAACACACCAAAACGACGUCGUUUUGGUGUUUUGAGGGUUGAUAUUCAUUUAGGUCGCGUAUUAUGCCCGAGCGAAGCCCCAAAUCCCUCAACAGCCUCCUCCAGCCUCCUCCCGACUCUUCACUCUGAAGACCCAAUCCCUUACUCGAAAAGUUAAUCAUGAAGAGCAAUAAUAUGUUUUUUGAAGAAUUGGAACAAGAAGGAGAUCGAUCGAAAGAGGCGAAUUGGAGCUCCGGUUAUAGAAUCCGAUCGGCGAGUUUAGUGUUGAAUUCGGAUCGGCAGUGGAGACCAUGAAAAUCGUUGUGUGAAAAGGAAGUUGCUGUUGGAAGCCCUUGCAAGUGAACUUCCUGCUGGUGCAUCUUGCUGACGGAACCAUCCUCAAAGCCAAGGAGCCUAAAAACAGCUGAUUACUAAUAACAAGUUCAAUAGUGUGCAACAUAGAGUGCUUGCUACCUCGCAUGUCAAGCCACGAAUAUCAGUUGUGUCUUUCUUCGUUCCUAUGAAUGGUGACAAACGUGUCAGGCGUUAAGGAUCUAUAAAGUAGCUUCUUAUACUCACCUAUAUGAGAGCCAUGCUAUCCAAAUUCCAGAUUUUCUUGGAUUUUAUUGGUCUUGAUCAUUGAGGCACAUAUUCGUUCUAGCUCUGUUUGGAGUACAACAUUGCUUGAUUCCAUCAACUAUGGAAGUUGGGUUCUCAGAAAGGGUUUUGGGUGGUUCAAGAUGGGGUUUUGGGGUUGUGAAAUAGUCGACGGUGGUUGAAUAUCUAACACGAUUCAAAAAAAAGAGGUGACACAUGGAAGAAGAACCCGACCGCCACUAAAGUAAAGAGUAGAGGGAGGGUUAGAGAAGGAAUAUAAUAUUUUUUUUUUCAUUGAUCACGUCCUAAUCAAUGUUAGAGUGUUUCUAUUCAUACCUCUAAAAUGAUGAUUGGACCUCUAUAUUUUCUCAAAUGAUAGUUGACUUUAUCAACUCAUAUAAAAUUACCAAUGAGAACAAAAGAAAAUAGAACAAAAUGUUCAAGUAAAUCCAGAAUAUGUGUCUAGCCCAAACUCUAGGUUACUUAACCUAGUUGUAA